UACUAUGCAAUUAUAGUUUCAAAUACUACAUAUUUUUCUGUCAGUGUACGCGGCCCUCGAAAGAUAUUUCGAGAAACGGAUACAAUUAAUACGCCGUGCAAUUAUUGUCACCUAAAAAUCUAACUGUACAAGCACUUGUCUACGCUUAACGUCCCCGCGAUUAAAUUUCCAGCGCGUUUGUAAUGCACUUGCGCAAUUCCCGAAACUUGUUAUUAAUGUCACUUUAUCCGCGCCGCGCGUUCAAUUUGCCGAAAGCGGAAAUGGUAUUUAUACAGUUCUAAUAUAUAUACUUUAUCUAGGUUCCGCGAAAUGUCACCGAGCUUUUACGACAGAAAAGGAUCACGUCGAUACGAAAGUCCGCCGCGCCGUUGCGCAACUUGUUCUAAUCUCCAGUCGUAGAGUAUCAAGCGACGUCCUUAUUGCGGACGACGGUUGCACUUGGGUCUGCUCGCGGAACACAUGUCGCUACGGAAUAUUUACAUUCGUGUCAUCAAUCACGCAAUACUCCACGUACAUUCCGAAGGCGACGUCGCUCGCGACGGGAACAUUGUGUAUCACGUCGUUAUAUUAUUUCGCUCUUAACGCACGUACGCACCCAACGCACCCACACAUGGCACACAUAGCUAUCGCGUUUAUGGAGUAUCGUCCAUCGCUGCUCGUCGUUUCCCCGCUGAAACAUUGCCGAAAAAUCGCAGGGAGGAUUCCUCAUUCCGCUUCGCGGUCCCUGCGAGAGAGAGAGUGAGAGAUCACCGUGUUUUCCAACCUCGUGCGCGCCCCCUCCUCCUUACCCGCGCACGCUCCGCGGCGAUGUGUCGUGUCGCAAAGGCGGCCGGCGCGCCGGUGGUAGGGCGCGGGAGCGAGCGAGACGGAGCGAGGGUUGCCGAAUGUCGCCGAGCGGCGCGACGGCCGGGCGCGAGAGGGGAUCCGCGAGCGCUCGGCCGCGCCGCUCAGUCCUCGUCCGUUCGCCAGCCGGUGUUCUACCGCGGGAGCGGUCGGCGGCUCGUGCGCGCGCGCGCGCGCGCGAGCGCGGCCGCCCGCCCGCCUUUGCUGCUACCUGGCGCCCCGCUUCUUUCCCUUCCGCGACCCGUCUCGAUGACCGAAAACCGGCGAUACCCGCGAGGACGACCGACGUUUCUUCCGCGUCGCGCCGCUCCGCUUUUCGCGCGGCAGCGUGGGAGUCUGCGCCCGUCGCUAACGGCCGCCAUUUCUGUUUUCCGGGACCGUUUGGAUUUCCCGCAACAGUGCGUCGCGGGAAUUGACGGCUGCGACAGCUACGAAGGCGCGGAGAUUCGGCAGCGUGAGGGGGAGACGGAGAGGGACGGCGCGGGAAGACGCCGCGACAGCAGCUGUCAUUGAAAACGUCGAAUGAGCCAGAGAAUCGGAAAGCCCCCCCGAGUAGAUUUCUCGCGGAUACUCUGUAACUAGGACCAAAAGAGUUAUUUCAAGGCUGCGUGCGACGUGCGUGCGACGUGCGUGUGCAUCCCGUGCGAGCCCAGCGGUUUCGAGAACGAGUCUGUAAGUCUUUUCUGCUUCCGUGCAAUUAUACACGAGCGACUUUUGAAAACACGUUCCACGCGCGUGAUCCGUGAAUCACGCUUUGGAAACUUCCGUUAAUUCCGGGCAAUGGGAUCGCAAUGAGAUAAUUUUACGCUUUUUUUUUUACUACGAAAUUGUCGAAUACAAGCUGUUGCCUGAGAUGUCGGCCGAGGGUUUCUUUUUUAUAACUAAAUCGAUCAGAAAGUAACGUAAAAUAAUUCUCGAACAGCCCGGCUAUCGGAUAGCCAUUAAUAACAUUUAUACAAAUUAUAUAGCCAUUUGUCACAAACUUUAUUGAUAAUAUAGCAUCGAUACCGUAUCGAAAUUACUGGCAAUACAUGGUCUUAUAAAUCACAAUUGAUUUCUACGGUAUACACGAUGUGCACGGGUGUGCAAAUUAUUUCAAGUAAUGCCUUCUUUAAAUUUCAUCUGUGGGUGAUGCUGUAUUAACGAUUCCGUCUGAAUUGCGAUAUUUUUACUACUCAUAUUACUCUUGUUGCUUUUCUUUCUUUUUUUUAUUUCGUAUGUAAACUGCGAUCUGUCUCCUCGAUGAACGAAACGCGCGUGGAACACAAUUUUUAAGAAAUGAAGGACUUUUCGUUAAGUGAGUAGACUGAACCUAUGUCGAUUCCACCGAUUGCACUUCGGAAACUUUGAUUAUUCGGGAGAUAAAGUUGAUCGGCUGUCAAAGCAAUCGCGCGCGAAAACAUGAGGUUUAAUAUUAAAUGGGGAAAUAAUAACCAGUCCAGAAUUUGAUACCUCGCCCGAGUAACGUCGUGUCAUUUUUGUUUAAAACCUGGCUUUUACCCCGUGCAAUCUCUCAGCAGCUUGCCCAUCAUUAUGCCGAUAUUAUCGAAAACGUAUCGUCUCGUACAGCGUAUACUUAAAGUUCCACACCGACAGGAGAAGAUAUUAUCAUAGCCGUCCCCAAACCCCCGAUAUGCAGAUAUAUUUGGGCGGGAUUACGCGCCCAUGACGCGAACGAAUCUAAUUUAUCGUCCCGGCGGGUUGGUCGAGGUGUCGCACGGAGGAGACCCAAUUUUUGCGAUCUUUGUGGGCGCGACGCGCGUUUACGUAAUUCCGGUGCUCCAUCCGCGUCCCGUUUCCUCCACGUUCUCGCGUCCUAAGUCUUCGCGUCGAUUAUUAGCCUGUAUAGUCUGGGAGCCGUCUGCGGGUCGACGUCCGGCGUCCCGGAAUAGACGCAUCUCGCGCCGCGCCGAUGCUCGUUACAUUCUGUCACCUACGAGAACGGACGCGCCGCUGGCGAUUUCCGGGCCAGCUUCGCGCGACGGGAAGAGAUCGAAGCGACUGCCCCAUCGAUUCUAUCCGUUAAUCACUUGCUCCAGAAAUACGUGGGAAAAAAUAAGUACGUUGUAUAUUGAAAACAUAUCCUGAAAUACGUUUUCUGUUUCUACGUUUGAUCAGACUGAGCAGAUUAAAGUGAAAGAAAGAAAGAACUCGUUCCUACAUGUAUCGCGAAACCAAACUUUUUAUCUGCCAACGUAAUUUUUCUAAGGGCGCUGAAUGAAGUACUUCCGUUGUAUUGUAAGGACUAACGCGAUCGUCGGUUGAAAAUCUUGACUACAAUUCCCGCUUGAUCGUUGCAUUUCUCUCGGUUGCAUCGCCUCGGUGGCGAAGCUACCCCCCUCCCCCCUCUCCUCUCUUCUCUCCUAUCACCCGGUAAUACGUCACGAUGAUCACCCCGAGACCGGUUAACAGUCAUCCUCCUCGAAGGGCAGGUGCGUAGGUACGCACCGCUUUUGUAUGCAAGGGAAAAGGGCAGCUGCUUGUUCCUAGACACAAGGAGGCGAAGGGCAAGCAAGUAGCGGAGGAAGAAGGUGAGGCGGAGGAAGAGGACGAAGGGCGAGAAAGAGAGGUGGCUCGCUGUGCUAAGGUAAACGAUAUAAUGGGGACGUAACAGUGGGUCCUGUUCAGUGGCAGAUGUCCUGGAGACACGUGCCCGCAACGUGGUUCCCCUUUUUCGGAGCUCCCCCUUCUUUCUCCGCGCUCGAGGAGGAACGAGAGCGGAAAACCCCCGAAAAAGAAGGGACCCUCCGUGCAGUAAGGGCCGCGCGCGUCCUACGUCGCGCCACUUCCUUUCUUCCGUCCUUUCUUUUUCCGCCCGUGCCUCCCUUUUUUUUCCCCCCUGAGCUUGGAGGAACGAGCUGCUUUGGCACCAGCUGCUCUCGUUAUACUUGCGGAUUUCGCACCGGCGUAACGGCGAAUCCGUUGCUUCGCGCCCUAUUUGCGCCAAGAUUUGAGAUCCUGCACGGACUUUUACUGACUCGCCGUCUGCCAGCGUCUUACGAGUCUCGGAGCAGAGUUUAGAGAGGGAUCAAUAGGAAUUUUUUUACUAGUAAUGAAAGGAUUAACAAUAGUUGUGGUAAAAAGAUCAUUAAUUUUUUUUACUCUCCGAUGAAACUCCCUUAAAAAUAUAGGUAAAAAGUGCGAGUCAGAAAAAUUACAAGUAAAUAUGGUA